rnacentral:lncRNA from 12 species
AUGUUUACUCACUUCCCCAAGGAAACCUCUUGUUCCUGCCCUGUCGCUCGUGGUCAUAGGGCAGGGGCUCCUCUGACCCCGUGGGAAGCACCAGGGACAGGCUCGUUGGCCUCGCCUGCCAUCGGGAACCGUCUAAAGCUGAGUUACGUGUUGACAGUACCCAAAACUGCUCCCGCACCCCCCGAGCUUCCGGAGCGGGCCUCCACGCAGGCGUCAGCGUCUCCCAUGCCAGUGUUUAGGAAGAUUAUUGCAGAAAACUGGGCAGCGGUUGAGCACCUGCUUUCGGCCCAGGGCAUGACCCCGGAGUCCUGGGUUCGAGUCCCACAUCACGUUCCCUGCGUGGAGCCUGCUUCUUCCUCCGCCUGUGUCUCUGCCUCUCUCUCUCUCUGUGUGUCUCUCAUAGAUAAAUAAAUAAAAAACCUUUAAAAAAAAAAAAGAAAACUAACAAAACAUCAUAAUAGAUUCGUGCCAUUUUUUUAAUCCGAAAAUAUAUUUUUUCCCACGCUCCUUGUAGGGAAGCUGUCCGCAGUCACACGUCUGGGGACUGUGUUGCAUGACCCCCAACCUCACCCCCAGGCCGCAUUACAGAAAGGAAACCCGGAUUCAGGUAAAGCAGGAGGCAGGAUGUCCUAAGCCCGGGCUGACGUGAGGACCGUCUGGGGGGCUCCUGCGGCCACCGCUGGAUGGAUGGGGCUCCAGCCACGGGCUGAGCGUGGGUGGAUCUGCUGUCCGGUCGCUGCCUCCAAGGCCAGUGCACCACGGGCUCCGGGAGCCCCAUGCUCUGUGCACACGUGCACACGCAUCCUGAUAUGCGUCAGGGGCGGCCUGCGUCCUGGCCCAGUGGUGACCUAAAGUCUCCCCCAAAGGUCUGACCCUCUGCACUUGAAUCGCCUGUGCAAAAUCCACCCACAGCUCAUGCUUUGGUGCGUCGUGCCACCCUAACCCAUCCUUUGCCACUUGGACACGGUGCAUCAGGCUACGCCUCAACGCUGCCCGAUGUAAGCCGAGCACCCAGUGCAGGGCCCUGUGCCCAGCACGGCCACCGACAAUCAUUCUUUCCGGCAUCACUGCAAAUGCAAGGUGCCCGUCAGUGUGCUCAUGUAUCCUGCUGGACCCUUUUGUAAACAAGAGAAAGGACCCAUUCGAGGUUCAAGUGAAAAUCUUCGGAAAUCACAAUAAGCUUUGUGCUCUACUAUUUUUUUUUAACAUGAAUUUGUAUAUUAAAAAUGAUCAUUUACACUGAGGAAAAUAAUUCUUUCUCAAGGGGGUAGCAUCUCACCUGUUUCUGACAACCGAAGAAAAAUAAGGCAACCAGGGUCCUUCACACGCACCUAGAGGUUAGGGUGUCUCCAUCUCAAGGGGACAAACUCAAAGCCACUCAAGCAAAAGUGGAAAAUCUCUGUAGCUCAGA